rnacentral:rRNA from 1 species
AACGAACGCUGGCGGCAUGCCUAACACAUGCAAGUCGAACGAGAUCUUCGGGUCUAGUGGCGCACGGGUGCGUAACGCGUGGGAAUCUGCCCUUUGGUUCGGAAUAACAGUUGGAAACGACUGCUAAUACCGGAUGAUGACGAAAGUCCAAAGAUUUAUCGCCAGAGGAUGAGCCCGCGUAGGAUUAGCUAGUUGGUGUGGUAAAGGCGCACCAAGGCGACGAUCCUUAGCUGGUCUGAGAGGAUGAUCAGCCACACUGGGACUGAGACACGGCCCAGACUCCUACGGGAGGCAGCAGUGGGGAAUAUUGGACAAUGGGCGAAAGCCUGAUCCAGCAAUGCCGCGUGAGUGAUGAAGGCCUUAGGGUUGUAAAGCUCUUUUACCCGGGAUGAUAAUGACAGUACCGGGAGAAUAAGCUCCGGCUAACUCCGUGCCAGCAGCCGCGGUAAUACGGAGGGAGCUAGCGUUGUUCGGAAUUACUGGGCGUAAAGCGCACGUAGGCGGCUUUGUAAGUUAGAGGUGAAAGCCUGGAGCUCAACUCCAGAACUGCCUUUAAGACUGCAUCGCUUGAAUCCAGGAGAGGUGAGUGGAAUUCCGAGUGUAGAGGUGAAAUUCGUAGAUAUUCGGAAGAACACCAGUGGCGAAGGCGGCUCACUGGACUGGUAUUGACGCUGAGGUGCGAAAGCGUGGGGAGCAAACA